AACGUAGGAGACAAACGUUAUCCGGAGUUACUGGGCGUAAAGGGCGUGUAGGUGGUUUCGUAAGUCUGGCGUGAAAUUUUUCGGCUUAACCGGGAAAGGUCGUCGGAUACUGCGGGACUAGAGGACGGUAGAGGCGUGUGGAAUUCCGGGUGUAGUGGUGAAAUGCGUAGAGAUCCGGAGGAACACCAGUGGCGAAGGCGACACGCUGGGCCGACCUGACACUGAUGCGCGACAGCAGUGGGGAGCAAACGAG
rnacentral:rRNA from 1 species